rnacentral:rRNA from 1 species
CUACGGGUUGCUGCAGUGAGGAAUAUUGCACAAUGGGGGGAACCCUGAUGCAGCAACGCCGCGUGGGGGAUGACGCAUUUCGGUGUGUAAACUCCUUUUAUAUGUCAAGAAAAUGACGGUAGCAUAUGAAUAAGCACCGACUAACUCCGUGCCAGCAGCCGCGGUAAUACGGAGGGUGCAAGCGUUACUCGGAAUCACUGGGCGUAAAGGACGCGUAGGCGGGUUGGAAAGUCAGGUGUGAAAUCCUACAGCUUAACUGUAGAACUGCACUUGAAACUUCUAAUCUAGAGUAUGGGAGGGGGAGAUGGAAUUAGUGGUGUAGGGGUAAAAUCCGUAGAUAUCACUAGGAAUACCUAAAGCGAAGGCGAUCUCCUGGAACAUUACUGACGCUAAGGCGUGAAAGCGUGGGGAGCAAACAGGAUUAGAUACCCUAGUAGUC